rnacentral:rRNA from 1 species
GUGCCAGCAGNCCGCGGUAAUACGUAGGUCCCGAGCGUUAUCCGGAUUUAUUGGGCGUAAAGCGAGCGCGGGCGGUUAGAUAAGUCUGAAGUUAAAGGCUGUGGCUUAACCAUAGUACGCUUUGGAAACUGUUUAACUUGAGUGCAGAAGGGGAGAGUGGAAUUCCAUGUGUAGCGGUGAAACGCGUAGAUAUAUGGAGGAACACCGGUGGCGAAAGCGGCUCUCUGGUCUGUAACUGACGCUGAGGCUCGAAAGCGUGGGGAGCAAACAGGAUUAGAU